ensembl:lncRNA
AGAGCCAGAGACAGAGACAGAGACAGAGACAGAGACAGAGACAGAGACAGAGACAGAGACAGAGGCAGAGACAGAGGCAGAGACAGAGACACACAGAGACAGAGACAGAGACAGAGACAGAGACAGAGACAGAGACAGAGACAGAGGCAGAGACAGAGGCAGAGACAGAGACAGAGACAGAGGCAGAGACAGAGACACACAGAGACACACAGAGACACACAGAGACAGAGACAGAGACAGAGACAGAGGCAGAGGCAGAGACAGAGGCAGAGGCAGAGACAGAGACACACAGAGACAGAGACAGAGACAGAGACAGAGACAGAGACAGAGACAGAGGCAGAGGCAGAGGCAGAGACAGAGACAGAGACAGAGACAGAGACAGAGACAGAGACAGAGACAGAGGCAGAGGCAGAGGCAGAGGCAGAGACACACAGAGACAGAGACAGAGACAGAGACACACAGAGACAGAGACAGAGGCAGAGGCAGAGGCAGAGGCAGAGGCAGAGACAGAGACAGAGACAGAGACAGAGACAGAGACAGAGACAGAGACAGAGACAGAGGCAGAGGCAGAGGCAGAGGCAGAGGCAGAGACAGAGGCAGAGACAGAGGCAGAGACACACAGAGGCAGAGCGCUGCUGCUGCUGUUGGGGUGGGUUGACCUGUCUGUCUGUCUGUCUGUCUGUCUGUCUGUGGAGAUGAUGUGUGGACCUGUCUGUCUGUCUGUCUGUCUGUCUGUCUGUCUGCCUGUAGAGAUGAUGUGUGGACCUGUCUGUCUGUCUGUCUGUCUGUCUGUCUGCCUGUAGAGAUGAUGUGUGGACCUGUCUGUCUGUCUGUCUGUCUGUCUGUCUGUCUGUCUGUGGAGAUGAUGUGUGGACCUGUCUGUCUG